UAGUACACAUUUCAAAAUACUACACUUGACCAUUUUCAACUCUCUAAUUCACAUUUCAAGUGACUAAGUCUAACCAUUUUCAAGUCAUGAAUUCACAUUUCAAGUAUCAAUACUAAACCAAUUUCAAGUCAUGAAUUCACAUUUUCAAGUGAUUACACUUAACUAAUUUCAAAACACAAGUUCACCUUUCAAGUAACUACACUAAACCAUUUUCAAGUCGCUAAUCCACUUCUCAAGUGACUAGUACAUAUUUAAAAAUACUACACUUGACCAUUUUCAACUCUCUAAUUCACAUUUCAAGUGACUAAACUUAAUCAUUUUCAAGCCAUGAAUUCACAUUUCAAGUAUCAACACUAAAUCAAUUUCAAGUUAUGAAUUCACAUUUUCAAGUGAUUACACUUUAAUUAUUUCAAAACACAAGUUCACCUUUCAAGUAACUACAUUAAACCACUUUCAAGUCACUAAUCCACUUCUCAAGUGACUAGUACAUAUUUAAAAACACUACACUUGACCAUUUUCAACUCUCUAAUUCACAUUUCAAGUAUCAACACUAAAUCAAUUUCAAGUUAUGAAUUCACAUUUUCAAGUGAAUACACUUUAAUUAUUUCAAAACACAAGUUCAGCUUUCAAGUAACUACAUUAAAUCACUUUCAAGUCGCUAAUCCACUUCUUAAGUGACUAGUACAUAUUUAAAAACACUACACUUGACCAUUUUCAACUCUCUAAUUCACAUUUCAAGUGACUAAACUUAAUCAUUUUCAAGCCAUGAAUUCACAUUUCAAGUAUCAACACUAAACCGAUUUCAAGUCAUGAAUUCACAUUUUCAAGUGAUUACACCUAACUAAUUUAAAAACACAAGUUCACCUUUCAAGUAACUACACUAAACCAUUUUCGAGUCGCUAAUCCAUUUCUCAAGUGAGACUAGUACACAUUUCAAAACACUACACAUAACCAUUUUCAACUCUGUAAUUCAUAUUUCAACUACUUAAAGGCCAUUUAUUCCCAAACCAUACAAACAUGAAGAUACAUAAAUGAUUUUCUCAACUAACAUACUAAAUUACUUGUUCAGGGUAACAUUUUGAUGUGUUGAGGAAACAUAGGAGCUGAAAGAAUAAUUUAAUAUACUAAAUUAGUAGGUAUUGUAUUAAAAAAUAAAGUUGAAGUGAUAAUAGAGAGGUUAGUAGGUUUAGAGUUGCUGAAAUUGGAAGAUGUUUCUUCUGUCAAUUGAAAAAUAAUAUGAUACCACCUAAAUAAAGUAAACAAAAAGGAAUGAUGCUUCUUGCCAACAUGACACAACUAUUUUUAAGAAAUUGACAACUUCUUAAUUAUGUUAAUAAUAGAGAUUAGAUACAUCUUUGUCGGUCUUAAUCACAGCAAACAAUCCCAUUUUCUUGCUAUUAAGCUUUGUUUAAUUCAGAUUAAACGUGAUGUGUUGUAACCUUGAUUAAUCAAGGAUCUUAAAGUAAAAAAAACAUGCUAAAUCUUUGAUUUAUUAACAGCGUAAAAGCUGAUAUGAGACAAAAAAAAUAUUCUUUUUUGCUUUUUUUGACAAGGGAAUUCAACGUUUUUUCUUUUCAAAUGAGACAGCUAACAUGACUCUUACCAAUUGACCAGUUCAACAUAAUUUGCCAGCUAUGUAAAGAAAAUGAAGUGCAUAAACUUGGUGAUACAUGUAGAAAAGAACCCAAUAAAUUCAACCAAAUAUGGAUACUUUGUCAACUCAAUACUCAAGGAUGUCUAAACACUGAGAUAGGAAGAGGAUCUAAUUGGUGACGGAGAGAGCGGCGGCGGCGCCUGUUUGAGAAGAGAGACGGUGGUGGUAGCAGCUGUUUCGCCGGUGGCGGCGCUGGGCGGCUGCUGUUGGGGGAUGAAUGGAGGGAGUGGGAGCAGCAACAGAGAGAGGCGGAGUGGCGACGGAGGUCAGCGAAGCGGUUGGUGGUCGACAAUUAUUGUGGUUUAGAGAGAAGGUAGAGAAGAGAUGGAUCGUAGAGAAAGAGUGGAGAGGCGGUGGUUAAUUUUUGAGAAAGG
rnacentral:lncRNA from 1 species